AACGAACGCUGGCGGCAGGCUUAACACAUGCAAGUCGAACGCCCGUAGCAAUACGGGAGUGGCGGACGGGUGGGUAACGCGUGGGAACGUACCCUGAGGUACGGAAUAACCGAGGGAAACUUCGGCUAAUACCGUAUGAGCCCCGCAAGGGGGAAAGAUUUAUCGCCUUGGGAGCGGCCCGCGUCGGAUUAGCUAGUUGGUGGGGUAACGGCCUACCAAGGCUUCGAUCCGUAGCUGGUCUGAGAGGACGAUCAGCCACACUGGGACUGAGACACGGCCCAGACUCCUACGGGAGGCAGCAGUGGGGAAUCUUGCGCAAUGGGGGCAACCCUGACGCAGCCAUGCCGCGUGAACGAUGAAGGCCUUAGGGUUGUAAAGUUCUUUUACCCGUGACGAUGAUGACGGUAACGGGGGAAUAAGCUCCGGCUAACUUCGUGCCAGCAGCCGCGGUAAAGUCUGUACU
rnacentral:rRNA from 1 species